rnacentral:rRNA from 1 species
GACGAACGCUGGCGGCGUGCCUAAUACAUGCAAGUCGAACGAACGGAUUGAGGAGACUUGUCUCUUCAUGUAAGUUAGUGGCGGACGGGUGAGUAACGACGUAGGGUAACCUGCCCGUUACAGUGGGGAUAACAUCCGGGAAACGGGUGCUAAUACCGCAUAGUUUCUUUUCCGCCUGGAAGAAGAAGGAAGAUGGCCUUUGCGCUAUCGACUGAGGGAUGGAACCCGCGGCGUAUUAGUAGUUGGUGGGGUAAUGGCCUACCAAGACGAUGAUACGGUAGCCGACCUGAGAGGUGAUCGGCCACAUUGGGACUGGAGACCACGGCCCAA